rnacentral:rRNA from 1 species
UAUUAAUAUAAGUUAUUAUUUUCUAAUUUUUAGUUGUGGGUUAGUUAUUUCUAUUAGACCCGAAGCUAGAUGAUCUUUCCAGGGCCAGAUUACUAAGGAUCGAACGGGUGAAUGUUGCAGAAUUCUCCGAUGAGCUCUGGAAAGCGGUAAACAUUUUGCCCGAUUAGAGAGUAAUCUCUUUUUAAGAACUAGCUCAUAACGGUGAAACCUAAAAUUCAUACAGCUUGAAUCAUGGCAAUACCGUGGGAAGUAUAAUUAUUUUUAAGAAACUAAUAUUAAUUAUUUAUAGUUAAUACAAAUUAAUCAUUUUAUGUAGAAAAAAAAAAUAUUUUUUAAUGUUUAAAAUUUUUUACAUAAAAUUUUACUAUAAUUAUACCCUGUAACGACUUUAUUUGAAAAAAUAAGGCUUUCAAAAAAAUUUUAAUUGAAGGCAACACGCUAGCAACUCUCUUAGUUUCAAUUUACUAUGGUAUCAAUAAAAAAUAAAAGCCCCAUCAAAAAAAAUAAAAUAUUAAGCUUUUAAUUAAUAAACUUUAUAUCUAAUUUUAAAUUAUUAAGCUUCAUUAGUAUAUCAGAUCCAAUGGAUUAAAAACACAUAAAACAAAAAUGAAUAGAAUUAAAAAUUAUAACUUUACACCUGAUUGGUUAGCUGGUUUUACUCAAGCUGAUGGUAGUUUUGUAAUUUCUUUUGAAAAACAAAAAGAAGGGAAAAUAGCUGUUAGACCUCGAGCUAUCUUUAAUUUAACUCAAUCGAUUAGAGAGUUAAAUAUGUUUAAAGAAUUACAAAAAUAUUUGUCUAUUGGUAAUGUUCGAAUAAAUAGAAAGAAUGUAACGUUAGUAGUAUCAAAUCUAGAAGAAACAAUUCAAGUUUUAAUACCUUUGUUAGAUAAAACUCCUUUACGUGGAAGUAAAUAUCAAUCUUUUCAGAUAUUUAAAUUAAUAUCUAAAAUGAUGUAUGAUAAAAAACAUUUAACAGUAGAAGGUGUAUUAGAAAUAUUAGAGUUAUCUUAUUUUAUGAAUAAAGAAACUACUCUUAGAACAAAUGAAUCUAAGGAAGCAUUACUAAAUUGUUUAAGAAUUAAACAUGGUACACUACCUAUUGUAAAUAUAAAUCAUUUAAAAUCUUUAAUUUUACCAUUAAAUGAAACAUCUCAAUUUAUUCCACUAACUUUAGAAUUUGUUAGAGGUUUAAUAGAUGGAGAUGGUAGUUUUAAUGUGACAUUUUAUAAUUUUAGAAGAAGAAUUAAUGUUAAUUUUACUAUUGUUCAUGAAUUGUCUUCUAUUUCUUUAUUAAACGAAUUAAAAACUUUUUUUAAUUGCGGUAAAAUUUAUAAAUUACCUUCAGCUGCAGCUCGUUAUCAAGUUGUAAAUAUAGAUGAUAUUCUAAAUAACAUUUAUCCUAUAUUUAAAAAUAUAGAAUUUAAUACAACUAAAGAUGAACGAUUUAAAAUUGCAAUGGUGGUUGCUAAAAUUAUAAAAACUGAAGGUUACAAAACAGAUAUUAAUCUAAAAAAAAUAGUAGACUUAGCAUGGGAUAUGAAUCAAGAAGGUAAAUACAGAAAAAUAACUAAAUUAGAAUAUUUAGCUAAAUUUAGUACAUCUAAUUGAUUUUUAUUAGCUUGAGUUUAAACAAAUAUAAAAUAUAUUGUAAAUAAUCUUUUUAGAAUAAUAUUUGUAACCCUAAGUAAAUUAUUUCAAUAAUUAUAUUAUUGUUUUUUACAAUCAUUUUGUUUUUUUUUUGUUGGCUUUUAUAUUAAUUAUAUAAUACCUAAGGUAAAUGAGAGUUGAAGGUAUAGUCUAAACUAUAAUGAAAAUUAUAGAAUUUUUAUUGGAAAUGCCAAUCUGAUCUAGUGCUAGCUGGUAUUCUUCGAAACAUAUGUAAGUAUGACAACCAAUUAAAUUUAUGGAGGUACAGCACGGAAAUUCCGAACAAGUAAUAUUAUUUAUAUUUACAGUUUUAACUUGUAAUUAUAAAAAUUUAAUAUUAUGCGUUUAGGUUGCGGGGAUCUAGUAAAUCUUACCAAUGGAAUUUAAACUCGGAAGUGCAUAAAUUGAUGUUGGAUAUUCAGACUGCUCAUGAUAAGUUGGGUAGUCAAGACGAAAACAGUCGAGAACACCUAUUAAGGUCCCAAAUGAUUAUUAAGUGAAAUUAAAGAUGUCCCAAAUUGUAAGCAGCUGUAAAGUGAGCCUAGAUAAACGACUACUGGGCUCAUAUCACAAAAACUAAGCUAUAUGCAAGAAAGCCCUAAAAAUGUUUUGCUGGCUAUUUUUAUAAAUUAAAAAAGCAGAAAUAGUAAACAUUUGUAAUAUUCUGUUAAAUAUUUUUAUUUAUUUACAUUUUAUUUAAAUGGGUAAUUUGCAGGAAACCAAAUAUUAUUUAUAAUAAAGUAGGAUCCUCAACGACUACACGCUUAGAAUAGAAUUUAUAAAAUCUAUUAUGACAUAGUCUAAACAAUUUAUGAAAAUAAUUGAAUGGGCCUAGCAAGGAAAGGCCCUCCCAAAAUUUUAUUUGCUUUGUAUUCCUUUUGGUUUAAUGUUUGAUUAACUAGAAAGUUGUUGGUUCGACUUGGAUUUAUUCCCUUGCGUCACUAAGAGGGCUAGCACCCCGACCUUAGUUAAAAUAGUGAAAAAACAUUAAAUUUGCAAAGUAAAACAAAAAUAUAUAUUUAAUUAAUCAAAAAUAGCUACAAAUAUCACAAAUAUAAUGAACCAAAAAAAUAAACUUUACCCUUUAACACCAGGGUACAUAACUGGUUUAACUCAAAGUGAUGGAUCAUUUAGUUGUAUAAUCUCUAUAUCAAUUAAAGGUAAUAUUACCUUUAUACCAAAUCUUACUAUUACAGCUGAUUUAGAUUCUAAAAAAGUUUUAGACAGUGUACAAUAUUAUUUUGGGUGUGGCAGAAUACAAAUUAAUGACAAAAAUCAUACUGCUAAUUUUAUUGUGACCUCUAGAGAAAGUUUUGUAAAAAUAAUUAUUCCUCAUUUUGAAAAAUAUCCUUUAUUUUGUUAUAAAUUACAUGCGUUUAAUUUACUUAAAUCUAUUAUUUAUGAUUUGCUAGAAAAUAAGCAAACAACUAUAGAAGGAAAAUUAGAAAUUACUAAAAAAGCUUUAUCUAUGAAUCUGGGAACAACUAGAAAAGAAGAAAGGUUACAAAGAAUUUAUUCUGCAUUAGGAUUGCCUAAAAAUGAAAAAAUGUCUUUAAUAUCUUACACUAUAAAUAGUAUUAAAACACCUUUAACAGAUGACGUUUUAGCUGGAAUAAUAGAUGGUGAUGGUUCUUUUUGGGUUUCUUUUUCUAAAAUAGGUAAUAUUAAACCAGGUUUUAGUAUUACAGCAGAUACUGCUUCUAUUCCCUUAUUAAAAGAAAUUUCUAAACGGUUUAACGGAGUUGGAUCUAUUCAGCAUACUAAAAAAACUUAUUCUAAAUAUUUUGUUCAUGGACUUAAUCAAAUUAUAAAUGAAAUAAUUCCGUUUAUGGAUAAAAAUUGUUUAUAUUCGGAAAGAUCAAAUCAUUAUCAAUUAUUUAAAAAAAUAAGUUUCAUUUUAAAUGAAGAAAGACCAUUAAGUUUAAAAACUAAAUUAAAAAUAGUAGAUAUGUGUUAUGAUUCUAACAAAAGUGGGAAAAGACGUCACUUAAGUAAAUCAGAUUAUAUUAAUUUAUUAAAUCAAUUAUACUCCAAGGUAUAAUAUUAAUAAAUUGUUUAAUAAGUAAAAAUUUUUUUAACCCUAUUAAUAUUUGUUGAUAUUUUUAUUACCUGUAAAGGUUUAUUUGAUUAUUUUAUUUAAAAAGAAGUAGAUUGGGUUAAAUUUUAGCUCCUUAAUUAAAUUAAAUUUAUAAUUAUUUAAUUAUAGAAAAUUGGGUUAAUUGCAAGAAAAUCUUAUUUAAAGUUUUACAAAAAUAAGAUAACUUGCAGCGAAGCUUACUUUGACAAAAUAACAAAAAUAAAGUAAGAACGUUCAACGACUAAAUGGUGAGUAUUUGUCAACAAUAAUCCAUUCACGAAUGCCCAACAUUAAAAAUUUAACAACAAAAAUUCUUGAUUUUUAAUGAAGACAUAGUCUGGUCAAUAGUGUGAACUGUUGAAAAUUGGAUAAAGAGCCAAUUGGUAACAUAAACGAGUCGCUACUUCUAACGAUCGUUGUAACAACGCAGCAGCUCUUUAGAUUGUGGCACUGAAAAUUUAACGGGUCUUAAAUGAUCAACCGAUAUAGUGUUAAUUAAAAAAUAAAUAAUGUUUUAUUUUAUUUAUUUUCUAAUUUAGGUAGAAGAACAUUCAGGUACGAAAGAUACACAGUGUUUCAUUGUGAUUGACGAACUGAAGAGAGAAUGCUGACAUGAGUAACGUAAAAAGAAGAUUUAAUACUUCUCGCCGAAUACGAAAGGGUUGUAAGUAGGGUUUAAACUUACUUAUGUUAAAUGCGGGUCUCUAAGGAACAGAACCAAAGUUCUGGCUGAUGAGGCAGUGAUAGUGUUGUCUUAAUGGAAGAUUAGACCAAGAAAAAAAGUCACUUUGAAGAAUUAACAAUAUAAAUUUUAAUACGAAAAAUUUUGUUUUUUUAUUAAAAUAUGUAUUAAAAAGGUCACAUUUUUAAAUAAAUGGACUGUAAAUAUUCUUAAUUUAAGUUUUAAUGUUAAUUGUUAUGUUAGGUGAUAAGGUAACAAUUAAACUUAAAUAAACAAACUACCGUACCCUAAACCGACACAGGUUCGUAAGUAGAGAAUACUAAGGCGUAGAGCUAAAAGUUGUAAAGGAACUCGGCAAGUUGUCCUCAUAAGUUUGACGAUAAGAGGAACCAAAUAAAAAAUUU